rnacentral:tRNA from 1 species
GAAAGUGUAGCUCAAGGGUUAGAGCAUCUGCCUAGCAAUCACAAAGCCCUGAUUUCGAAUCCCAGUACAUCCC